UGCGGCAGCGAACGUAUCACCCAAGACAACUUUACGGAGUUGACGAUUGACGGAGCGAAGCGACGUCAAAGCGUAUAUUAAAGUCGAGUCGGUUUAAGGAUACGUUGUUGGGUAGGGGAGCGUUCUGUAAGCCUGUGAAGGUGGCCUGUGAGGGUUGCUGGAGGUAUCAGAAGUGCGAAUGCUGACAUAAGUAACGAUAAAGCGGGUGAAAAGCCCGCUCGCCGGAAGACCAAGGGUUCCUGUCCAACGUUAAUCGGGGCAGGGUGAGUCGACCCCUAAGGCGAGGCCGAAAGGCGUAGUCGAUGGGAAACGGGUUAAUAUUCCCGUACUUGGUGUUACUGCGAAGGGGGGACGGAGAAGGCUAUGUUGGCCGGGCGACGGUUGUCCCGGUUUAAGCGUGUAGGCUGGUUUUCCAGGCAAAUCCGGAAAAUCAAGGCUGAGGCGUGACGACGAGGC
rnacentral:rRNA from 1 species